UAUAUAUUCUAAAUUAGCAACUUUUAAACACUAAGUCAAACAGAUAUUCCCUCUGUUCCUUUUUGUUUGAUUGUUUAGAAAAAAAAAUUUGUUUCUAAAAGAUUGAUUUUUUAAGUUUUCCAUGUAAUAUUAUUGGUUA
rnacentral:sRNA from 1 species